rnacentral:rRNA from 1 species
CGUGAGUAACCUGCCUUGGAGAGGGGAAUAACACAUCGAAAGAUGUGCUAAUACCGCAUGAAAUGUCUGAAUCGCAUGGUUCUGGACAUCAAAGAUUUAUCGCUCUGAGAUGGACUCGCGUCUGAUUAGCUGGUUGGCGGGGUAACGGCCCACCAAGGCGACGAUCAGUAGCCGGACUGAGAGGUUGGCCGGCCACAUUGGGACUGAGACACGGCCCAGACUCCUACGGAAGGCAGCAG